GAAACCAACAGGGAUUACCUCAGUAACGGCGAGUGAAGCGGUAACAGCUCAAAUUUGAAAGCUGGCUCUUUUAGGGUCCGCAUUGUAAUUUGUAGAAGAUGCUUCGGGUGUGGCCCCGGUCUAAGUUCCUUGGAACAGGACGUCAUAGAGGGUGAGAAUCCCGUAUGUGACUGGGUGCUUUCGCUCAUGUGAAGCUCUUUCGACGAGUCGAGUUGUUUGGGAAUGCAGCUCAAAAUGGGUGGUAAAUUUCAUCUAAAGCUAAAUAUUGGCCAGAGACCGAUAGCGCACAAGUAGAGUGAUCGAAAGAUGAAAAGCACUUUGGAAAGAGAGUUAAACAGUACGUGAAAUUGUUGAAAGGGAAGCGCUUGCAACCAGACUUGCGCGCUGAUGAUCAUCCGGGCUUCUGUCCGGUGCACUCGUCUGCGCUCAGGCCAGCAUCGGUUUCGGUGGUGGGAUAAAGGCCUUGGGAAUGUGGCUCCUCUCGGGGAGUGUUAUAGCCCUCGGUGCAAUGCCGCCUACUGGGACCGAGGACCGCGCUUCGGCUAGGAUGCUGGCGUAAUGGUUGUAAGCGACCCGUCUUGAAACACGGACCAAGGAGUCUAACAUCUAUGCGAGUGUUUGGGUGUCAAACCCAUACGCGUAAUGAAAGUGAACGGAGGUGAGAACCCUUAAGGGUGCAUCAUCGACCGAUCCUGAUGUCUUCGGAUGGAUUUGAGUAAGAGCAUAGCUGUUGGGACCCGAAAGAUGGUGAACUAUGCGUGAAUAGGGUGAAGCCAGAGGAAACUCUGGUGGAGGCUCGCAGCGGUUCUGACGUGCAAAUCGAUCGUCAAAUUUGCGUAUAGGGGCGAAAGACUAAUCGAACCAUCU
rnacentral:rRNA from 1 species